rnacentral:rRNA from 1 species
CCUACGGGAGGCAGCAGUGAGGAAUAUUGGACAAUGGGCGCAAGCCUGAUCCAGCCAUGCCGCGUGCAGGAAGACGGUCCUAUGGAUUGUAAACUGCUUUUAUACAGGAAGAAACACUCCCUCGUGAGGGAGCUUGACGGUACUGUAAGAAUAAGGAUCGGCUAACUCCGUGCCAGCAGCCGCGGUAAUACGGAGGAUCCAAGCGUUAUCCGGAAUCAUUGGGUUUAAAGGGUCCGUAGGCGGUUUAAUAAGUCAGUGGUGAAAUCUGGUCGCUCAACGAUCAAACGGCCAUUGAUACUGUUAGACUUGAAUUAUAAGGAAGUAACUAGAAUAUGUAGUGUAGCGGUGAAAUGCUUAGAUAUUACAUGGAAUACCAAUUGCGAAGGCAGGUUACUACUUAUGGAUUGACGCUGAUGGACGAAAGCGUGGGGAGCGAACAGGAUUAGAUACCCUGGUAGUCCACGCCGUAAACGAUGGAUACUAGCUGUUCGGAGCAAUCUGAGUGGCUAAGCGAAAGUGAUAAGUAUCCCACCUGGGGAGUACGUUCGCAAGAAUGAAACUCAAAGGAAUUGACGGCUGAGACGNGACGACGACGACGACGAGGGAGGAGG